rnacentral:rRNA from 1 species
GGAAUCUUGGACAAUGGGGGCAACCCUGAUCCAGCGACGCCGCGUGGGUGAUGAAGGCCUUCGGGUUGUAAAGCCCUUUCGCCGGGGACGAUGAUGACGGUACCCGGUGAAGAAGCACCGGCUAACUCCGUGCCAGCAGCCGCGGUAAGACGGAGGGUGCUAGCGUUGUUCGGAAUUACUGGGCGUAAAGCGCACGUAGGCGGAUCAGAAAGUUGGGGGUGAAAUCCCGGGGCUCAACCCCGGAACGGCCUCCAAAACUCCUGGUCUUGAGUUCGAGAGAGGUGAGUGGAAUUCCGAGUGUAGAGGUGAAAUUCGUAGAUAUUCGGAGGAACACCAGUGGCGAAGGCGGCUCACUGGCUCGAUACUGACGCUGAGGUGCGAAAGUGUGGGGAGCA